rnacentral:misc_RNA from 1 species
UGCAUUUCCCAUUUCAGAGAAACAAAUGCAAUAAGUUGCCCUGCCAUUUUGCCAUUUUGCGCGUACAAUCCAUAUGAAGCGCCAAUUGCAUGAGGGCAACAAAAAUAUAGGUAAAAUAUCAAAUAUUUACUAAAUUCCAGAAUCUCUCAUUAUUUUGAAAUGAGUUUAGCAUGCACAUUUUGUCAUUGUUUUUACAAAACAUCUCCAUUACUUCCACUGCGUAAUGGAUUCUUUCAUUCUCUUCGGCCCAUCUCCAUCAGACCUGCAUUCACAAGACAUACAUAUUUCUCAACUUUCUAAACUUAUCGCAUUUGGUGCAAAUAUUGUACACUAAUUUUAAAGGGUCCCUUGAUGCAUAUGCCAAGCCAAGAAAUAAACUAAUUUCAUUUUCUGGGCAACUAAAUCAACUAUCAUGAUUAAACAUUCACAAAGAAUCAAACAUUAGUUGUGGAUGACGAGUUGUUAAUUCUAGUUCAUAAGACGAGUGUUUGAUAAUCUUCUUUUCCAUAUCAACAAGAAAUUCAUCAGGCCAAAACGUGCUACUCCGUUGAACUAAGCGUACAAUUGCACCUAAAAGCUCCAAUAUUUCUGAGCAUGGACGAUAAGCAAAAUAACCAAUAUUCAUUCCAUAAUCUGUAUCCAGAUUAAAAAGGAAAUGCCAUUCAGGUAAAACUUAUUACGCCCACAGGACUUUCUAUUAUAGUGAAAGCAUAUUUACAAGCCAAACUCUCAGUUUCCUCCUCAACAUGUAUGGAGAUCAAAUAUCAUCUUGUUUCUUGCUUCUUUUUACCUAAGAAAGAAUUCAAGAGCUAACUGUGAGCCAUGCUCCUUGGUGGGAAAAACACUUCUAAGUUUUAAAAAGUCCAAAAUUUUUAACAACCCACAAAUUCUUUCACUACCUAUUUGGCCAAUGACAUUUCCAAGCAUCACACCAUAAAAACAUUGAGGUUUGAAUUGUCUCACUACUAAAAGUGCUGUCUGACAAUAUGUCAUGACAUAUGAUUCAAACUCAAAACUCAAAAGCAUUUUUUAUAAUCCUAGCAACUUACAAACAACUUCCUUCAACAUAUCAGUUGCCACCCUAUGAAGCUCCAUUAAUAAAUAAUCCGUAUCUUUAUAUUCUGGUUGCUAAAAAUAAUUUGACAAAGACAUAAAUGAAUAUCAUGCACUCAGAAGCUUCUCUAUAGAAAUCCAAAAUUCUGCAUCAUCACCUCCAAUUUGGCAAUAUUAUAGGAAAAAUAAAUAAAAGAAAGAAUAAAACCAAACACAAUAAUACAAAGGACAGAAAGGUAAAGAAGAUAGCUAAAACAAUGUAAUUCCAUUGUCAACGCUCAUUCCCACAAAUAAAAGAAGUUGCACCAAUUUUUAUCCUUCACAUCAUACAUUAUGUGCAUACAUACGUCCAUCUCUCUGAAAUUAAAUUCCUAAACAUCAUUAUGGAAUGAAUUUGUUAAAGUUGUACUUCGAUGAUUCUCAAGCCAUAUUAAUAAUAACCAUGUAACAUGACCUUAACUAAUAGCAUAAAGAUAUGAUUAAAUAGUAUGGUAGAUUAGUAUUAUAAUGUUGUUGCCAUAGCUACUGUAGAAAAACGUGCAGGGACCACAGUAAAAGAAAAGCAAAUGCAACUUCAGAAAAGUAACAAGUGGAAAUAGCUUACAAACUGAUGAAAACUCAAAAUGACAUAGAAGAAAAAUGUAAUAUAGCACAGUUUUCUUUGCAAUUCUUAGAGAAGAUCCCUGUAAUUCUUGAAACUUGGAAGAACUAAUAUCUAUGAAGAAUAUUAUCACAAAAACUCCACGCAGGCUUGACAUAUAGUGUAACAGGAAUUACAACAUUAUUUCAAAUAACUGCAGAAACUUCCAAAACUUGUAGCCACCUUAAUUUACUUCUCAAUAUCAUAAUCAUACUACAUAAUCACAUAUCCUCACUACAUGCAAAAUCUUUCAGCUUCACAAUAGUCUGGCUAAUCAAUCAUAUCAUUGCUCCACUGAGUUGCUCGAGCUUCGAUCUCUGGCACCCUCACCAGCAUCAGCAACCUCUUCUUUCUUCACCCAAACCAUUCCACUAUGUCUCCCCUUCUGCUCUGCAGACUGAUUAAACCUCCUAAAACUUCCUCUGUGCUGCCCAUAACGGACACUCAGACCACCAUUAUAACCUCUAUACUCAUAAUACCUGCGAUUAAGAGUCCUAUUAUCAAUCCUAUUAUAACCUCUAUGAUCGCCAUAUCUGCGAUUAACAACCCUAUUUUGCGUAUCCGAUCUGUUACUCUCAUUUCUUAUAGAAAAAUCCUCAAGCUUUCGCUCAAUCUUCAGAGUACCCUCACUCUUCUCCGCCGCAUUCUCAACUUCCUUCACAUUUUUCAAUGUUCCACCACUCUUCUCCGCCUCUUUCUCAACUUCCUCCACAUUUUUCGCUAUUCCACCACUCUUCUCCGCCUCAUUCUCAACUUCCUCCACAAUUUUCACUAUUCGACCACUCUUCUUAACCGCACUAGUAAAUUUAGGCCUAUAAUCCAACCUCAUAUCCCUCGUUUUCUCAGGCCUCGUAACCGGGGUAUUCUCCUCGCUCUUAACAGGCGGCGCGCGUGGCUCGCGUACCUUUGGUUCUUCCUCUUCUUGUGCCCUAGCUUCUCCAUCAUCGAUCAGCUUCUCCUUCUUCUUUUCCUUCCCCUUCCUCUUCCAAUUCUUCUUUUUCUUAUUUCCCAAAUCAUUGUUCUUCGUCUCCUUCACAGUACUCUCACUCUCAUUUCCUUCAACAACAGCAGAAACCGCUGGAGCGUGGUUUUCCUCUGGACAACCACCGAAACCAGUUUCCGUCAAAUUGCGAUUUCUGCGCUCAUUACGGCGGUUGCGAUUGCGAUUGCUUCGACUCGAUCGGGCGUCUUUGAUUAGGUGAACUUGGGGGUUUGGGUCUUUUUCUUCAUUUUGCUGCUCCUCUUCCUGGUUUUGUUCUUCCUCUUUCUCCUUGAGCUUACGCUGCUGCUCUUUAAUCCAGCGUUCUUGAAGUUGUUGGAGAGUGACGUAAUUAGAUGGAAUAUUUGAGGGCCUUGUCUUGUCCUCCAUUGAUGAAGCGCAUAGAGAGAGUUUGGAGGAGGAGACUGAAAUCACAGGUGCUAUUUUGGGGGCACAAGCAAAGUCACGACUCACGGGUCCACAAUUUCCUUUCCACGGAAGGCGUUGGCGUCCUAGUUUAA